AGUCAAUCAAACAACAAUGUGAUAGAGAUGAAAAUGGGUAGUAGCUCCUCCAUGAAGAUAGUCAUGGCUUUGAUCUUUUCCUUGUUGCUUCUUGGUCGUUUCUCUGCUGAGGCAGCAGGAAGAAUUAGCGAUGGUGCAGCAGCAACAAAAGAUGUAUGUUUCAACCUAGAAGGAAAAUGUCCAAGUGGUCAGGAUUGUGAUAGUUGUUGCAAGUCAUCAUUGGGUUACUCCUCAGGAUGGGCGUUGCUUGGAAUUUGUUGUUGCCAAAAGGAUUCCAUGAAGGUCUAAUUUCAUUAUAUUAAUUAGCUAAUAAGAACAUCCCCACUGGAAUGUGAUACGGUUCCCCCAUGAAAUGCAAUGUAAAAGCAAAAAUUCCUUAAAAAAAUAUCAUCUCCAACCAUGGGGUUUUGAAAUAA